UUUCUCUAUAGACCGUGGCUACGCUUCUGGAUGAGCUGGGAGAUAGUCUAGCUGGACUAACCCAAACAGAAAGUCAAGACGACUGGGUGGAAUAUGGGGAUGCCGUGCUCCAGGCCACAAACAAGCUUGUUUCGACAUUGGUAGAACCGACUAUGACCGAAAACACCAGGAACCUUACCACCAACCACACAGAGGUGAGAAUCGAUUCAGUUGGACCAAAUGUCACUCUGUCUGAGACACCUACCAUUCACAUCAAAGAGGCGUCACUCGACAUCAACCUCCUCUACAUCGCCAACAAAAGCAACGGGUCUGCUUCUGUUGCCCUCGUGGCUCUCAUUUACAUGGAGACGGUCCUGGACCCCAACCUUCUCCACACUGAGACUGACACGAUCAAGACCACAAUAUCAAGAGUGGUGUCCAUUUCCCUGCCUAAAACCAAUAUCAGUCUCCUGCCGGGUUCUUUUACCCUCACACUGCAGCACACUAUGGUGAGUUUAAUUGUCGUAGAAAAAAACCUCUAAUAA
rnacentral:lncRNA from 1 species